GUGCAGAUGUAUAUACUGCAAUUGAAUGUACAGAUGUGUUUAUUGUAUUGGUGUACAGAUGUGUAUAUUGUAUUGAUGUACAGAUAUGUGUAUUGUAUUGUUGUACAGAUAUGUAAAAUGUAUUGAUGUACAUAUGUGUAUAUUAUAUUGAUAUACAGAUGUGUACAUUGUAUUGAUGUACAGAUGUGUAUAUUGUAUUGAUGUACAGAUGUGUACAUUAUAAUGAUAAACAGAUGUCCUGUGUAUAUAUGUACAAGGUUUAAUGUAUAAUGUAAAUAUUGUCCAAUCUCUAGUCAGAUCUCUUUAAACUUUACUUUAGCUAACAUUUUGUAAUGGACUUGCCCAGAUUUGACUUUAGAGCAGUCCAUUGUUCAUCGAAGGGAGUGAAAUAUGAAAUGGCUCUGUAAGUGGCGGCCAUGGCAAAUCUAGAUCACUAACUGCAUUCAGAAUGUUUAAAGUACUUUGGUGUUGUGACAUCAAUGGCAUUUUUGUCUUUUAAUUAAAGUUUGUUAUUCUAAUCAUUUGUUAUAGAAUUGAUACUGUGUAGAUAGUGAAAAAUUACCCGUAUGUUGAUAUGUCAGUUUUGAUAAUUGCUUGUGAAACAUGGACUUUAUUAAUAAGGGUAACAUUAAGGCCAGGAGCUUAUGCUUUCACAUUUAUUUUUGUUUAUUUUAAUUGUUCUGGUAAAGAUAAAUGAUGUACUGUAUCAUAGGGUGUAGGGUCAGAUUAUGUUCUCUGUAUAUUACUUCCAGAUAACUGAACAGCUUCAGAUUUAAAUACUACACUUUAUUUUAUGUUAACCACUAAAAUACUGGAUUUUUACCCGAGAAAUAAAAGCCAUAUCACUCAAUAUCACUCAUGUGUAGUUUAUCACAAAUGUGCACUAUAUCACUCGCACUGUGAUUGAUAUAGAUUUACAAAACUUUUUGUUAAAGAGUGUAUUAAUUUGUGUGAUUCCAUAUUGUUGAUUUGUAUUUUGUUCUUUAUGGCAUAUAUCUUAAUUAAAAUGUCAUUUCCCAACUAAAAUAUUCAAGAAGGACUGCAGUUAUGACUGAAAAUUUAAUAACUUGUUUGUGCAGCAUUUGCAUAGCUGUUGAACGUCUAACGAUGUCUUAUUUUGUGCAUCUGUUUCCAGCACUUCAUUGAAAACAGUUAGAAAUAAUUAAUGUUUUCCUUUACAUAUUAGGCAUAGAAUAAAAAAGGCAUAAAAUAAAAGAAUUUUUUCUUAGUGAAUAUGCUAUAUACAUGUAUUGGACAUUGAGGUGAGAAAAUGUCCACAUUUUAACUUGUGCUGUACAUUGGUGAAAAUGUUGCAAUUUUCUCACUCCUUAAUGUAGUACAAUAUUUCUGUCACAAGAAAUUAUAUAAUUAUUUUUCAUUGUUGUUUUUUCUUUGGGUUUUUUUUUUCGAAGUUUAUCCAUCAAACAUUAGGCACAAUGAUAAUUUGCUGUUAACAGGGAAAUAAUGAUUAAAGAUUGCUUAUGUUCUGUGAACAAUACAUAUGUAAGUCUGAACAGUGGUUGCUGCAUUAUCAAUAGUUUUAUGUCAUACAGAUAUCAUAGCAAAUGUCUCCUUGAAUUUAUAACUAUGUGCCUAUAUGUGUACAAGUUAUAAAAAUUAACACUGUUCUGUUCUGUAUCAUACAUCAAGACAAGGCUCUAAAAAUGUUUCACAUAUGAUUAAAAUGUCUGUUAAAUUGUCUAUAAUUAAUUCCUAAUUAAUUGCUUUCAUUAAUUUAUAUUGUAAUUGGAAGUCUAACAUUCCAUUAUUCAAGAUCUGUGUUAAUAUUCUGUUAUAUUUGUUUAUUAAAUUUUGUUUAAUAUGCAUGUACCAUUAUUUAUUGUUUUAACUACCUGUGCUUUUAACCUUGAUUAUGCUUGAGAAAAUACUUUCAUGAAUAUGAAACUAUAAUACUUUACUAUAAACAGUCAGUUCAUUAUGUUAAUUUAAUGACCAAUGUGUAAGAAAAAUUAGACAAUACUUGUUAUUAGGAACUCCACUAAGUUCCAAAAGCUUAAAAAACAAAAUCUGAAAUACUUUACAUAGCUCAAAUGUUGCACUCGUAACUAAAAAAAUACAAAGGAUAUUAAAAAAGAUAAAAUGAUUAAAAUCUGAAAUCAUGUUUUUGUGAUUUUUAGCCUUUAAUUGAAAUGCUUUUCAUUUCUGGGCCAUUUUGCACAAGAUAAAAUCCUCAGUGGAGUAACUUUAAUAUUU